rnacentral:rRNA from 1 species
UACGUAGGUGGCAAGCGUUGUCCGGAUUUAUUGGGCGUAAAGCGCGCGCAGGCGGUCCGUUAAGUCCGAGGUGAAAUCUCCCGGCUCAACUGGGAGGGGUCUUCGGAUACUGGCGGACUUGAGGAGAGCAGAGGUGAGUGGAAUUCUCGGUGUAGUGGUGAAAUGCGUAGAUAUCGAGAGGAACACCAGUGGCGAAGGCGACUCACUGGGCUCCACCUGACGCUGAGGCGCGAAAGCGUGGGGAGCAAACCGG